UAGUACCCUCCCACGGUACUG
rnacentral:siRNA from 1 species